AGUGAACGCUGGCGGUAGGCCUAACACAUGCAAGUCGAACGGCAGCACAGUAAGAGCUUGCUCUUACGGGUGGCGAGUGGCGGACGGGUGAGGAAUACAUCGGAAUCUACUUUUUCGUGGGGGAUAACGUAGGGAAACUUACGCUAAUACCGCAUACGACCUACGGGUGAAAGCAGGGGAUCUUCGGACCUUGCGCGAUUGAAUGAGCCGAUGUCGGAUUAGCUAGUUGGCGGGGUAAAGGCCCACCAAGGCGACGAUCCGUAGCUGGUCUGAGAGGAUGAUCAGCCACACUGGAACUGAGACACGGUCCAGACUCCUACGGGGGGCAGCAGUGGGGAAUAUUGGACGAUGGGCGCAAGCCUGAUCCAGCCAUACCGCGUGGGUGAAGAAGGCCUUCGGGUUGUAAAGCCCUUUUGUUGGGAAAGAAAAGCAGCAGGUUAAUACCCCGCUGUUCUGACGGUACCCAAAGAAUAAGCACCGGCUAACUUCGUG
rnacentral:rRNA from 1 species